rnacentral:ribozyme from 1 species
GUUCUCUGCUCAUUUAGCCACGUCUAUUAAUUAAUCUAUCUCCUUUAAUAGCGUCGGACGAAGCAAACAACUGAUAUACUGGAGCGAUUAAUCAAUCUUAUCACAUUCCGAGCAAAGCAACGCGAUGGAU